rnacentral:rRNA from 1 species
CCUACGGGUGGCAGCAGUGAGGAAUAUUGGUCAAUGGGAGGAAUCCUGAACCAGCCAUGCCGCGUGCAGGACGACGGCUCUACGAGUUGUAAACUGCUUUUGUACCGGGGUAAAAUGCUCUACGAGUAGGGUUUUGAAAGUACGGUACGAAUAAGGAUCGGCUAACUCCGUGCCAGCAGCCGCGGUAAUACGGAGGAUCCGAGCGUUAUCCGGAUUUAUUGGGUUUAAGGGGUGCGUAGGUUGUUUUAUAAGUUAGCGGUGAAAUACCGAUGCUCAACAUCGGGACUGCCGCGGAUACUGUAGGACUAGAGAGCGGAUGCAGCAGGCGGAAUGUGUAGUGUAGCGGUGAAAUGCAUAGAUAUUACACAGAACACCGAUUGCGAAGGCAGCUUGCUAGGCCGGAUCUGACACUGAUGCACGAAAGCGUGGGGAUCGAACAGGAUUAGAUACCCCAGUAGUC